rnacentral:lncRNA from 1 species
UUUAUUGGUAAAGGGAAAAUUUGAGUUUGGUACUGUGGAUUAUCAAGAUCCAAAAUUCCAAAUAAAAUAUUAAAACUCGAUUUGCAGUAUUUUCCUUCUUUCCUCCUUUAUAAUCAAACCCAACAUUUGCAAGAAAAGAUUUAUAAUUUUUUUUUAUAGAUUUUUUAACUUUUAAUAAAAUUUGUAAAUUUCAUCCACAUUUCUCGGAUUUCUUUCCGUAUUCGACCUGAUAUAAAAAUUUUCCCCUCUCUCUAUCUUUUUCGAUGUUUCACGUAAAGAAAAACAACCAAAUUUAUUUAGUUUCUUUAUUAAGUGGGCCCCACUAAUUUUAUUCAUUUCUUAAUGUUUUCUUUUUUCCUUAUUUUUUUCAUUCUCCCUUCUUUCCUUCCUUCCCCUUCUUCUAACCCUAGCCGCCAUCCACUGUAACGCCGCCGCGGCUUGCAAGCAUUAGUGGUCUUCUCACUAAAACAAGGCUCGCCUCAUCCUCUCUUCAUCCCUUGGUUCGGAUUCUCGAACAACCGACCAAAAAUUAAAUCUUUGUUCAAACCUUUUCCGGUCCCGAUCCCGCCAUUCUCCGUCUGAUCAAUAUGGCUUCAUGGUAUGAGCUACUCCUCGUUAGAGGCCACCUUCUCACCAUUCGUAUUGGCGAGUGAACCACUAGAUCUCCGAGAACUCAACAAACCGAAAUGGGUUUUCUCUUCCCCUUGUGUUUUUUAUUUUUGAUUCUUCAUUACCAUGCUGAUUAUGAUUGUUGAUUUUUCUCAUCGGUUCCCCUUCGUUUCAGAAGCAAAAAAACCUUGGUGUUGUUUGUUUCUACCAUUUGUGGGUAUGUGACAAGUGUUUGGUUUAGGGGCAAGGUGAGGGUGAGGUGGAGAUGAAUUGAGGCAGUGUAGGGAAUGACCGGAUUGGCCGACUCUGGUCCAACCAGCAAGUAUAGGGUCCUAAGGACCAAAAUUGUAACAUUUGUAAAGCUGAAGGGGCUUUUUAAAUUUCCAUUUUUUUUGUUUUCGUUUAGAAUUUUGGCUUUCUGUAUUUUUUUUGAAAUUUUGAAAUUUAAAAUUUUUUAAUUUGUAAUUGAUAAAAUAUUGUAGAAUUAUAAAUAUUCAAAAUUAUAUAAAUCUAAUAGUAAUGAGCCAAAGCCCAAAAUUUUUAUUUAGCAUAAAAAUAUAAAAAGCAAUAUGACCAGGUAGGGAAAAUUGGUCCAAAUUCAAUCAAAGCUUUCAAAUUAAUUGGUCCAAAACGACAUCGAUUUAUAAAUUAAAA